CGUAGGGUGCGAGCGUUAAUCGGAAUUACUGGGCGUAAAGCGUGCGCAGGCGGUUUUGUAAGACAGGCGUGAAAUCCCCGGGCUCAACCUGGGAACUGCGCUUGUGACUGCAAGGCUAGAGUACGGCAGAGGGGGGUGGAAUUCCACGUGUAGCAGUGAGAUGCGUAGAGAUGUGGAGGAACACCAAUGGCGAAGGCAGCCCCCUGGGUCGAUACUGACGCUCAUGCACGAAAGCGUGGGUAGCAAACAGGAUUAGAUACCCUGGUAGUCCACGCCCUAAACGAUGUCAACUAGGUGUUGGGUGGGUAAAACCAUUUAGUACCGGAGCUAACGCGUGAAGUUGACCGCCUGGGGAGUACGGCCGCAAGGUUA
rnacentral:rRNA from 1 species